rnacentral:rRNA from 1 species
CUGUGAGCUCGAUGAGUAGGGCGGGACACGUGGUAUCCUGUCUGAAUAUGGGGGGACCAUCCUCCAAGGCUAAAUACUCCUGACUGACCGAUAGUGAACCAGUACCGUGAGGGAAAGGCGAAAAGAACCCCGGCGAGGGGAGUGAAAAAGAACCUGAAACCGUGUACGUACAAGCAGUGGGAGCACAGAGCAAUCUGUGUGACUGCGUACCUUUUGUAUAAUGGGUCAGCGACUUAUAUUCUGUAGCAAGGUUAACCGAAUAGGGGAGCCGAAGGGAAACCGAGUCUUAACUGGGCGUUAAGUUGCAGGGUAUAGACCCGAAACCCGGUGAUCUAGCCAUGGGCAGGUUGAAGGUUGGGUAACACUAACUGGAGGACCGAACCGACUAAUGUUGAAAAAUUAGCGGAUGACUUGUGGCUGGGGGUGAAAGGCCAAUCAAACCGGGAGAUAGCUGGUUCUCCCCGAAAGCUAUUUAGGUAGCGCCUCGUGAAUUCAUCUCCGGGGGUAGAGCACUGUUUCGGCAAGGGGGUCAUCCCGACUUACCAACCCGAUGCAAACUGCGAAUACCGGAGAAUGUUAUCACGGGAGACACACGGCGGGUGCUAACGUCCGUCGUGAAGAGGGAAACAACCCAGACCGCCAGCUAAGGUCCCAAAGUCAUGGUUAAGUGGGAAACGAUGUGGGAAGGCCCAGACAGCCAGGAUGUUGGCUUAGAAGCAGCCAUCAUUUAAAGAAAGCGUAAUAGCUCACUGGUCGAGUCGGCCUGCGCGGAAGAUGUAACGGGGCUAAACCAUGCACCGAAGCUGCGGCAGCGACGCUGAUGCGUUGUUGGGUAGGGGAGCGUUCUGUAAGCCUGUGAAGGUGUGCUGUGAGGCAUGCUGGAGGUAUCAGAAGUGCGAAUGCUGACAUAAGUAACGAUAAAGCGGGUGAAAAGCCCGCUCGCCGGAAGACCAAGGGUUCCUGUCCAACGUUAAUCGGGGCAGGGUGAGUCGACCCCUAAGGCGAGGCCGAAAGGCGUAGUCGAUGGGAAACAGGUUAAUAUUCCUGUACUUGGUGUUACUGCGAAGGGGGGACGGAGAAGGCUAUGUUGGCCGGGCGACGGUUGUCCCGGUUUAAGCGUGUAGGCUGGUUUUCCAGGCAAAUCCGGAAAAUCAAGGCUGAGGCGUGAUGACGAGGCACUACGGUGCUGAAGCAACAAAUGCCCUGCUUCCAGGAAAAGCCUCUAAGCAUCAGGUAACAUCAAAUCGUACCCCAAACCGACACAGGUGGUCAGGUAGAGAAUACCAAGGCGCUUGAGAGAACUCGGGUGAAGGAACUAGGCAAAAUGGUGCCGUAACUUCGGGAGAAGGCACGCUGAUAUGUAGGUGAAGUCCCUCGCGGAUGGAGCUGAAAUCAGUCGAAGAUACCAGCUGGCUGCAACUGUUUAUUAAAAACACAGCACUGUGCAAACACGAAAGUGGACGUAUACGGUGUGACGCCUGCCCGGUGCCGGAAGGUUAAUUGAUGGGGUCAGCGCAAGCGAAGCUCUUGAUCGAAGCCCCGGUAAACGGCGGCCGUAACUAUAACGGUCCUAAGGUAGCGAAAUUCCUUGUCGGGUAAGUUCCGACCUGCACGAAUGGCGUAAUGAUGGCCAGGCUGUCUCCACCCGAGACUCAGUGAAAUUGAACUCGCUGUGAAGAUGCAGUGUACCCGCGGCAAGACGGAAAGACCCCGUGAACCUUUACUAUAGCUUGACACUGAACAUUGAGCCUUGAUGUGUAGGAUAGGUGGGAGGCUUUGAAGUGUGGACGCCAGUCUGCAUGGAGCCG